rnacentral:misc_RNA from 1 species
CGCCGAAGGUGGGGCUGAUGACUGGGGUGAAGUCGUAACAAGGUAGCCGUACCGGAAGGUGCGGCUGGAUCACCUCCUAACAGGGAGACAAUAAAUUGAUUGUGAUGUCUAAGUUUUUGAUUCUUAGGCCGCAAUCCUGUCACCUUAAGGUCGAUCGGUACCUCAGAUUUUUGAAUUAGUUUUACAAUUGAUUCUUUGAUUUCAGUUCCUAAACUUGUCUAGGUCACACCCAACAAAGGUUUCUCCUGGGCCAUUAGCUCAGGUGGUUAGAGCGCACCCCUGAUAAGGGUGAGGUCCCUGGUUCAAGUCCAGGAUGGCCCAUUCGUUGUUGGGGGUAUAGCUCAGUUGGUAGAGCGCCUGCUUUGCAAGCAGGAUGUCAGCGGUUCGAGUCCGCUUACCUCCACUGAAAACUAUCCUGAUAACUAAAUUUCUGGAGAAAAAAAUUGUAGAUGUGGCUUAGAAUUGUCUAUUUGAAAAGAACCUAGCUUCUUGUCAUCUUUUUAUAGUUGAUAAAAUGCUGGGCUCGCAUGGAUUAUUUCCAUGAGAAUUCAGUAGAACCUUGAAAACUGCAUAGAUUAGAAAGAAUAAAGCAUCUCAUGGAUGCAUAGUUCUGUUUUUAUAAUUUAGCCUUAAAACUAAAUUAUUUAAUUCUAGAACUCAUGUUUAAUUCUUGAGUAAUAGCCGAGCACAAUUGAUUUUGUGAUUGUAUUAAAGGUCAAGCUACAAAGGGCUCA